CCUGGUCUCAUUCCGAACCCAGCAGUUAAGCCGAGACACGUAGUAUACUGUACUGAGGUACGCGAGUCCUCGGGAACUAUACCAAGCUGCUAUCA
rnacentral:rRNA from 1 species